UGAUACCUAGCAAUAUGUAGUGACAAUCCAGUAGAACCAAAAAAGAAUCCUCAAGGUAUAGUUCACAUGUGAUUCAGUACCUCUAUCAUGAGUGUCGAUUAGAUGAUAGAUCAUUGAUAAAUCAUCAAACCUCAUUAUCCGUCAUAUGAUGAUCAGCUCAAAUCUAAUUGUGAUACUCAUGAAAACUCUUUUCCAUCAAUCACACUAUUGUAGCCACAGACUCUCAGACUUAGCCUCUUAAAUUUUAUAGGACUACUCUUCUC
rnacentral:lncRNA from 1 species